UGCGGGUUGAUGUAACAGUUAACAUAUUUGGCUCAUGCCCAAAAAUUAAAGGUGCGAAUCCUUUACCCGCAU
rfam:Diaporthe helianthi strain 7/96 Scaffold_936.1, whole genome shotgun sequence.